GCUUGUAGUCGGAUUUUGGGCGCGUGUGAACUGUCGGCCUCUGGUUGGACGGUGCGCGCGUGCCUUUCUGCUUGGGAGCCCCAUGGUGGUUAAUUCUGUCGUGGUGGGUCACAGGCCGUUUACUUUGAAAAGAUUAGAGUGUUCAAAGCAGGCUGUUGCUUGAAUAGAUUAGCAUGGAAUAAUGGAAUAGGACCUUGGUGCUAUUUCGUUGGUUAUGGGACUGGGGUAAUGAUUAAUAGGGACAGUUGGGGCCGUUCAUAUUUCGUUGUCAGAGGUGAAAUUCUUGGAUUUACGAACGAUGAACUUGUGCGAAAGCAUUCGGCAAGGAUGUUUUCAUUGAUCAANAACGAAAGUUAGGGGAUCGAAGACGAUCAAAUACCGUCGUAGUCUUAACCAUAAACUAUGCCAACUAGGGAUCAUUGAGUGUCAAUUUNCGACCUCAUUGGCACCUUGUGANAAAUCAAAGUUUUUGGGUUCCGGGGGGAGUAUGGUCGCAAGGCUGAAACUUACAGGAAUUGACGGAAGGGCACC
rnacentral:rRNA from 1 species